UGUAGCUCUGACUUGGGUAGUACAAAGAUAAUAUAAUAAAUUUAUCAAGACUUACACAGCUACACAUUUACAGCUAUCAGGUAUAUGGUGCUAUUUGCAGCCAACAAAAAUAUAAACAAAUAUAAAGAUGCAGUGUGAAAGUAUAACUGCAUAAAAUUAACUGUAGUACAGAUUGUACUAGAGAAAUAAUUUUGUAGCCAUCUCCUGUUGCUACUGCAGCCAGUCCAAGUAUUUGAGUAUCUACUUGAGACACCAACUAUAUGACACUAAUCAUUUCCACAAGAGCAGUUCAUCUCUCCAGUAAAUUGCUUAUCCAGGUAAAAGGUGAUCUCUUAUGGUUCUUGUGUAUAUUUUAUCAUGUUUAAUGCAAUCCAUAAACCUUGCAAAACAACCUGGGACCCAUACAAAUUGUCUGUAGGGAUGCUGGAAGUACUCCCAAGAAGCAAGGUCGUGAUAUUACAAGAAAAAAGUUGAAUUGCUUGUUAUGUACCUUAGAUUGAGGUCUGCAGCUGCAGUUGCCUGCCGUUUCAAGUUAAAUGAAUCCAGUGUAAGGACCAUAGUAAAUAAGCAAAAGGAACUUCAUGAAGACCUCACUGCAGCUACACCAGCAAGUGUAAAAUCUAACAUUUUUUGUGACAUACCCUUUUAUCUCAUAGUGAAAAUGCAGCUUUUAUGUGAGUGCAGAUUGCUAUAAGAAAGGCAUACCUGUAGACUGUAAUAUACUUCUUCAAGAAAAAGUGAAGUUAUUCUCUGACAACUUAAACCAAAAGGAAUGUGAAAGAUCUAAAGCUGGAGAAUUUAAUGUCAGCAAAAGAUGGUUUGACAUUUUAGAAAGAGAUUUGGCUUAAAAUUUCUCAAGAUAACAAAAGAAACAGCUUCUGCUGACCAAGAUGCAGCAGAUGAGUUCCCACAUGUCAUUUAAGAAAGGCUACUUUCUUGAACAGGUUUUAAUGUAGACAAAAGUGCCUUAUUGUGGGGGAAAAUGCCACACAGACAUUUAAUAGGAAGGACGAGAAGCAAGCACCGGGAUUUAAGACAGGAAAGAAUAGUCUAACUCUGAUGUUUCAUGCCCAUACAGUCAAAUUUAUGAUCAAGACUGCCCUUAUCUAUACAGCUGCUAGCUAACCCCUAGGUCUUGAAGGGAAAAGAUAAACCAGCUUCCAGUCUUUUGCUUGUACAAGGAGAUGUGGACAAUGAGACCCUUUUUCUGGAUUGGUUCUACUGAUGCUUUGUUCCUGAUAUCAAAAAGUACUUUGUCAGUAAGAAACUGACUUUUUACGUUCUUUUGAUGUUGGAAAAUGCUUCAGGCCACCCAGAAGCCCAUGGGUUCAACACUUCAGGCAUUGGCAUGGUCUACUUGCCCCCAAAACAAUAUCUCUAAUUCAGCCUCUAGAUCAGGGAGUCACAAGGACACUUAAGGCUCAUUACACAUGGUACUCUGUGGGAAGGAUGGUCAAUGUUAUGGAAGAGAACUCCAAUAGACAACAUCACGUAAGUCCAGAAGGAUUAUCCCAUUGAAGGUGCUAUGUUGUUAGAUAGAAAAGUGUAUGAAAGCCAUCAAGCUCAAAACAAUAAAUUCCUGCUGGAGAAAACUAUAUCUAGAUGUUGUAUAUGAAUUCAUAGGGUUUAUGACAGAGCCAGUCAAUGAAAUCAUGAAAGUGAUUUUGAAUAUGGCAAAAAAAAUAAGGACUAAAAAGUUAGACGAUAUGGAUCUUGGGGAAAUUCAAGAGCUAAUAGACACCACCACACCAGAGAAAUUAACGGAAGAGGACUUAAUGGAGAUGAGUAGUUCUGAACCAGUGCCAGAGGGAGGAAGAAGACAUAGAAACAGUGCCAGAAAACAAAUUGACA